rnacentral:tRNA from 1 species
GGCCUCGUAGCUCAAAUGGUAGGGUGUGCGCUGUACAAAAGCGUAGGCAAAGUCCAGUAUGGGUUCAAAUCCCGCCGAGGCUA